AACGUAGGAUCCGAGCGUUGUCCGGAAUCACUGGGUGUAAAGGGUGCGUAGGCGGGCUUGCGCGUCAAGGGUUAAAGACCUCGGCUUAACCGAGGGAAUGCCCUUGAUACGGCAGGUCUUUAGGGCGGGGGAGGAGGGUGGAAUUCCUGGUGUGGCGGUGAAAUGCGAAGAGAUCCGGGGGACAACCGAAGGGGAGGGCAGCCAUCUGGACCGCCACUGACGCUGAGGCACGAAAGCGUGGGGAGCAAACAGG
rnacentral:rRNA from 1 species